rnacentral:rRNA from 1 species
UACGAAGGGUGCAAGCGUUAAUCGGAAUUACUGGGCGUAAGGGGUGCGUAGGCGGUUCGUUAAGUCUGUCGUGAAAUCCCCGGGCUCAACCUGGGAAUGGCGAUGGAUACUGGCGAGCUAGAGUGUGUCAGAGGAUGGUGGAAUUCCCGGUGUAGCGGUGAAAUGCGUAGAGAUCGGGAGGAACAUCAGUGGCGAAGGCGGCCAUCUGGGACAACACUGACGCUGAAGCACGAAAGCGUGGGGAGCAAACAGG